UUGCCAACUUAUGUAAUUCAA
rnacentral:siRNA from 1 species